CACGUAGGGGGCAAGCGUUGUCCGGAUUUAUUGGGCGUAAAGAGCUCGUAGGCGGCUCAGUAAGUCGGGUGUGAAACCUCCAGGCUCAACCUGGAGACGCCACCUGAUACUGCUGUGGCUAGAGUCCGGUAGGGGAGCGUGGAAUUCCUGGUGUAGCGGUGAAAUGCGCAGAUAUCAGGAGGAACACCAGCGGCGAAGGCGGCGCUCUGGGCCGGAACUGACGCUGAGGCGCGAAAGCGUGGGGAGCGAACAGG
rnacentral:rRNA from 1 species